rnacentral:rRNA from 1 species
GGCGUCCGAGUUGUAAUUUGUAGAGGAUGCUAUUGGGUUGCCACCGGUCUAAGUUCCUUGGAACAGGACGUCACAGAGGGUGAGAAUCCCGUACGUGACCGGCCAGGCGCUCUCUGUAUAGCUCCUUCGACGAGUCGGGUUGUUUGGGAAUGCAGCCCUAAAUGGGAGGUAAAUUUCUUCUAAAGCUAAAUACCGGCCAGAGACCGAUAGCGCACAAGUAGAGUGAUCGAAAGAUGAAAAGCACUUUGGAAAGAGAGUUAAAAAGCACGUGAAAUUGUUGAAAGGGAAGCGCUUGCAAUCAGUCUCGACGGCGGCUGUUCGGCCUCUCUUCUGAGUGGUUUAUUCAGUCGCCGCCGGGCCAGCAUCAGUUUUGGCGGCCGGAUAAAGGCGCGGGGAAUGUAGCUCCCUCGGGAGUGUUAUAGCCCCGUGUGCAAUACGGCCCGCCGGGACUGAGGUCCGCGCUUCGGCUAGGAUGCUGGCGAAAUGGUUGUAAGCGGCCCGUCUUGAAACACGGACCAAGGAGUCUAACAUCUACGCGAGUGUUUGGGUGUCAAACCCGUGCGCGCAAUGAAAGUGAACGGAGGUGGGAACCGCAAGGUGCACCAUCGACCGAUCCUGAUGUCUUCGGAUGGAUUUGAGUAAGAGCGUAGCUGUUGGGACCCGAAAGAUGGUGAACUAUGCCUGAAUAGGGUGAAGCCAGAGGAAACUCUGGUGGAGGCUCGCAGCGGUUCUGACG